rnacentral:rRNA from 1 species
AAUUUUGGACAAUGGGGGAAACCCUGAUCCAGCCAUCCCGCGUGUAUGAUGAAGGCCUUCGGGUUGUAAAGUACUUUUGGCAGAGAAGAGAAGGUAUCCCCUAAAACGGGAUACUGCUGACGGUAUCCGCAGAAUAAGCACCGGCUAACUACGGGUCAGACACCGCGGUAAUCCGUAGGUUGCAAGCUGUAAUCGGAAUUACUGGGCGUAAAGCGUGUGUAGGCGGUUCGGAAAGAAAGAUGUGAAAUCCCAGGGCUCAACCUUGGAACUGCAUUUUUAACUGCCGAGCUAGAGUAUGUCAGAGGGGGGUAGAAUUCCACGUGUAGCAGUGAAAUGCGUAGAUAUGUGGAGGAAUACCGAUGGCGAAGGCAGCCCCCUGGGAUAAUACUGACGCUCAGACACGAAAGCGUGGGGAGCAAACAGG